AACAUUCCAUUUUAUAGUCCCAUGGACCGAGAAGCUGAGAAGGCUGUCGUCUCAUCUAUAGAGAGCAUUACUAGAUCCAAGUUGGGGAAUCAUGGCAGGGACUGGAGCCCUGCGUUCUACCUUUGCUGUUACUUAGCUGUGUGACCCUUAGCAAGUCACUGGCCAGGUCUGGAUCACAGUUUUCUCAUCUGUACAUGAAAAGGUCAGGCUGAAAUAUUUCAAAGGCCCCCAUUCAGAUCCAAGUUUCUGGAACUUUUUAUGGUGAAGUAUUUAACCCACCUCACCGCCUAACUCUGCUUUUUUGCCUGUAACCUCCAUUCUGAGCCAGAGCCUGCAGGGGUUUCCAGCUCUGCCUAGGUUCCACGAUGGGUUCUAAUUCCACCCCCUUGGAACCUGUGCCAGGGCUAAUUCUCCCAGUCAGGAAUUCCUUCUGUGGAACUAACCCAUGUCUCUAUUGCUGCAGUUUCCAUUAAUUUCCUUUGACCCGUCCUCGGGGGGAAGCUCAUGAUUACUGAUAAUUCUAGUUAAUCCUUUAACUAGGAAAAGGAAACUAACCAUCUAAUAGGCCGAAUGAGGGAAUGACUUGGCACACCAUCUGCAAAAUAUAAACCUAAAAUAUUCCGGAGUGUUCUCUGGGAGGCCACAGCCAUUAACGCCCCGAGAGCCGGCUACUGCAGAUAUUUGCUCCUCAUGGUGGGCACACUUCUGAACUGAGCCAGGAAUGGGCACAGGCAGGGCAGCCCAUGCCGUUUCCCCCUCUCUGCAUGUUUGUGGCAUAACCAUCACAACCAUUUUACUUGCUAAGGCAGAACAUCUCCAGCCCCGUAAAAAGCUUUCUGACAUCUCUCUGAGCUGCUGGCUUCCCCAUUUUCAGAAGAUGCCAUGGUUUAUUAAUUCUCUGCAGAAGCAAUAAGAACUGGGUAUUGGCUUAAUUUGGGGCCAAUUUAUUGUUAUGAUAGAAAAAUUGGGCUCUGUCUCCUCUUAUUCAACACAAGGGCCUAUAGUUCCCCCUUUAACCCCUCCUGUGCUGGGCUCUUCCUCCAAUCCACUUCUACUUUUUUGUCUUUGGGAUAUUAUUUAACCUCUCUGUGCCUCUGUUUCCUCAACUGGGAUAAUCAUAGUACCUAUUUCAUAGAAUUGUUUUGAGUAAAUACUGAGUUACUGAGUUAUUUUAGGGUCUCUCUCUCUCUCUACCAGAAACUUCAAAUUGACACACUGUUUUAAAAAAUCUGGGAAUUUCACUUUCUAAAAAUCCAGGUUUUCAGCUUCUCGUGAGUGACUGGGAACCACACUUACCCUAUGUCCACACAACCACCUGGAGCCGAGUAGAGGUGGCUCCUGCUAAAAAUGACAUCUCAUGUCUGUCCAGGUCCUGGUCCUCCAUUCCACUCAGGGGCAGGGCCUUUCUUCAUGUCCUGGUUGACCCAGAGGCCCCGAGUCUGUGGUCUGGGUUCCCCUGUUUCCUUAGGCUGAGCCAGUUGUAGCCACAGAACUCAAUUCUCCUCCACACCCGAAGCUGCUCGGAAAUGUCCUUCCAGCAUUACCUGCACCAAUGGUAAUAGGCAGCUAUGCUCACUGGGAAAGAAAAUCUGAACAAGACAAAUGGAACCUCUCCUGAGGCAAAUCUACCCCAGUGGGUUGAAGAUGGAAUUGUAAUUUGGAGACAGAAGAAAAGAAAAAAAUAAUAAACAGCAGCACGAUUCCC
rnacentral:lncRNA from 1 species